CAGGGUCUCACUGAGUUGCUUAGAGCCUUGCUCUGGCUGAGGCUGGUUUGGAACUCGGCGUCCUCCCAAGCUGCUGGGAUGACAGGCGUGCGCCACCGCGCGGGCUACAGCUUCUAAUAUAUCCCGGCAGGAGCCUCCAAAAUUGGAGGGACCUAAUGCGUGGACCAGAAACCCCACAUGGGAAAGCGUGGCCUGUGCCAUCCCAAACACGCACCGCCUCUCUCCACGCUCUGACCUCAGGGCUGUCUCCAGGGCAGCAGAAUGAAGGUUGGGUCUUGCUCUGUGAGCCUCCCUUGCCGCAGAGAGCUGGGCUUCUCUUCCCGGAGGAGUGGUUCUGGGAUGAGCUGGGAGGAUGGGCUUAACUGUGUCAUUCCCCAGCACCCCCCAUAGCUCUGUCUCAGAGGUAAGAUGUCCCCGAAUAGAACUGGAUUCAUUUAUGGGUGGUAAUGAAAAUGACUCUUGCCAGAUCACAAUAUCGGGUAGUAGAAAGUGCAGGAGUUCUGCAGUCAGAAAGAUCAGGGUUCAAAUGUGAUGUGGUAUGGUGGUUAAGAAUAUUGGAUAUGGGCGGGGGGCAGUGGCACAGGCCUGUAAUCCCAGCGGCUCAGGAGACUGGGACAGGAGAAUCGCGAGUUCAAAGCCAACUUAAGCAAAGGCCAGGCGACCCUGUCUCUUAAAAAAAAAAAAAAUAGAGCUGGGAAUGUGGCCCUGUGGCAGAGUGCC
rnacentral:lncRNA from 1 species